UACAGAGGGUGCGAGCGUUAAUCGGAAUUACUGGGCGUAAAGCGUGCGUAGACGGCUAUCUAAGUCGGGUGUGAAAGCCCCGGGCUCAACCUGGGAAUUGCAUUCGAGACUGAAUAGCUAGGGUACGGUAGAGGGAAGUGGAAUUUCCGGUGUAGCGGUGAAAUGCGUAGAUAUCGGGAGGAACACAGUGGCGAGAGCGGCUUCCUGGACCAGCACCGACGUCAGGCACGAAAGCGUGGGGGAGCAAACAGG
rnacentral:rRNA from 1 species